CAUAACUUAGGGUGAACCUUUAAAUUCACUCCGCCCUUUAGAACCAAUCAAAUUGACACAUAGAUUAUUAAUUAAAAAAUAUUAAAUUAAAUAAAAAAUAGCUUAAAAAAUAAAAACGCUAAUUUUAACGACGCUAACGCUUCCAGCUAAACCCUAAACCCUAAACCCUAAAUCUUAAAUUCUAAACCAUAUACCCUAAAUUCUAAACCCAAAUCCAAACCCCUAAACUCAAACCCUAUACCUUAAACCCUAAUCCUAGACCCUAAACCCAAAUUAUAUACCCUAAACCCAAAAACUAGACUAUAAACCUAAACUCUAUACCCUAAACCAAAGUCAUAGACCCUAAACCCAAACCGUAAACCUU
rnacentral:lncRNA from 1 species